rnacentral:lncRNA from 1 species
AUAAUCAAAAGUAAAGAGGACUGUGAACCUACAGUUUCAAGAAAUGCAAAUCCAAGGGUAGUUCUCAAUGAACUCAGCUAUCUACAACCUAAUAUGAAUCUGAAAUGGGUGACAAGAAUAGUGGUGAGAUUUUAUAAUCUCAGUGAGUAAACAAACAUCAUCCGAAAUAUCUAAAGUCGAGUAAAAGGAGACAAUUAAAAUAUUUCAUCUCAAUAUGUAUUUCAUAACAUAAAUAUUCAUUUCAUUUAAAUAUUCAACAUGGCUUAUGAGUAUCUUAAAAGCUUGGUUCCUGCCAAAAUCAUUCUCGGGGAUACCUUGGUCAAGGCAUCUAACCGAGUCCGCCAAGGCUGUUAAAAAGUUCGAAUACACGUAAACAUAUUUUUAGUUUGACAAACACAGCCAUUCCUUGGCGUUAGCGGAGUUCAUCAUCACGAGGUGGUUCGGUGUGACGUGAACUAUGUCCAUACCUUAAGAGAUAUCCUACGCGCCUCUCCGACCGAGGUACAUAUAUAUAUAUAUCUGGAUUUCGUGCCCCUUUAAUAGGCUGGUUCACAGAAUCCGCCUACUGCAGUAAGCUAAACUCACAAUACAAUAAAAUUUUGACAGCAUGACAGGGCUAAUAUUUUACUUCCCAGCCUGCAAGGGUAAAAUAAAACAAUUCAUACAAUUCAUAAAACACAACCCAGCCAGUCAUGCCAACACAAUAACAAUAUGACAUAAGCCAUCAAUUUCCAAUCAUAGAUUUACAACAUACCGGUGGUCUCCAAUUACUCUAUUUUCAAAAUCGUUAUUUCGUUUCAAGACAAUUUAUAAAAUCUUUUUAUUUAAACACAUUUUGUUUACAAAACAUAAAAAUUUACCAUUUGAACUCAUUUUCAUAAAAUUUACCAAAAUCUUAUAAAAACAUACUUUAGAUAAUUAAAAUGAUGGUAAGGUUACUCAUUAUUUCGAGAAUCGAAUUUCUAGAGUACUAUGACUACUGAUCAUCGAGUACAAUUUUCUUACCUUUAUCGGAGGAUUCACCACCUAGACAUAGUACAAAAUCGAGAAACUUACUAUAUUGGUACUAAAUCAAAAUUAAACUAAUUUAGACUACUAAUGCAUGAUAUGUAAUGUAAAAAUGUCCGAAUAGCCGUUUAAAUACGGUAUUCGACCUAAUUCGCACUAUUCUCGGUGUAAUUAGCUAAAACCUCCAAUUUAACUCCAAAUCGAUUUCUUUCACUUUCUACACUCCAAUUAUACUUAAAAUACCUCAAUGACUGUGAAUAUGAUUCAAUUUAUCAGUCCGAAUCAUAAAUCGUACAUGUCUAUACAUUAGGUAAAAAUUCAGAUUUUCAUGCCAAAAUUUCCUAUUAAAUUUCUAGCCUCACCAAUCAUUAAAUAUCACCAAAUUAUCAUGAAAUAUCAUCAAUUUCAGCCUCAAUAUUCUCCCUAGAAAAUUCAGCCCCUUAUGGGUAAUGGGAGAAAAUGAAUUUUUUUCUUGUUAUUUUGUUUCUAAAUAUGCUAAACUAACUAAAAACACUAACAUAACUUAGAAUCAAAUCAAUCCAACUUCAUUCUCUCUCCAUACCCAUUUGGUCAGCCAUGAAUUCACCAUGAAAACNNNNNNNNNNNNNNNNNNNNNNNNNNNNNNNNNNNNUUUUCUUGUUGUUUUGUUUCUAAAUAUGCUAAACUAACUAAAAACACUAACAUAACUUAGAAUCAAAUCAAUCCAACUUCAUUCUCUCUCCAUACCCAUUUGGUCAGCCAUGAAUUCACCAUGAAAACUUGAGUUCUAAGCAUGAAAAAUGAAAAAGAAAGCAUGGGUAGUGUAAAUCACAAGAUAAAAUCACAAAAUUUUACCUUUAUUAGCUUAAUCCCUUGAAAUCCACACUUUUUCUUCAAUUUUCCCACCUAGGUUUUGUUCUUUCUUUGUUGAACUUCACUUCAUGCUUUGGCCG